GACGAACGCUGGCGGCGUGCUUAACACAUGCAAGUCGAACGGAAAGGCCCUGCUUUUGUGGGGUGCUCGAGUGGCGAACGGGUGAGUAACACGUGGGUAACCUGCCCUUGACUUUGGGAUAACUUCAGGAAACUGGGGCUAAUACCGGAUAGGAGCUCCUGCUGCAUGGUGGGGGUUGGAACGUUUCGGCGGUUGGGGAUGGACUCGCGGCUUAUCAGCUUGUUGGUGGGGUAGUGGCUUACCAAGGCUUUGACGGGUAGCCAGCCUGAGAGGGUGACCGGCCACAUUGGGACUGAGAUACGGCCCAGACUCCUACGGGAGGCAGCAGUGGGGAAUAUUGCACAGUGGGCGGAAGCCUGAUGCAGCAACGCCGCGUGCGGGAUGACGGCCUUCGGGUUGUAAACCGCUUUCGCCUGUGACGAAGCGUGAGUGACGGUAAUGGGUAAAGAAGCACCGGCUAACUACGUG
rnacentral:rRNA from 1 species